UAACCCUUGGCAGAUUUCUUUUUGCAAACAUUUCUCUCUCUACCGGAAAAGGAAAAAGAAAACAGAAAAAAACGGAAGUAAAUCCUCAAUCUUUCCGAAGUAUGGGACGGUGCAUAAUUGCUUCAUCAUCCACACUCAAUCUCACCCGAUUAUCUCGUAAACCCAUUUCAAUUCUUCCUUCCGAACUGCCGACCUUCUCGUUUGCUAGGAGCUCGACUGCAAAUCCGCGGCCUCUGAAACAUGAAUUUUAUCCAACACUGCCCUCUGCUUUCAGCUGUAGAAGGGGACUGUGCACGAAAGCUGUUUUAUCAGACGUUUCUGAGGAAAAACAGUAUUUCAAAGUCGGAGCGGAAUCGACGGGUCCCAUUCCUUCUGAUCGGCUUCUCGCUGUGAUUGAAAUUGCCGCCAAAACUGGCGCUCAGGUGAUAAUGGACGCAGUGAAUAAGCCUCGAAAUAUAACAUACAAGGGAUUGACUGAUCUGGUGACUGACACGGAUAAAAUGAGUGAGGCUGCUAUUCUGGAUGUGGUAAAGAAGAAUUUCCAAGACCACCUCAUUCUGGGGGAGGAAGGAGGGAUCAUUGGGAAUUCAUCUUCUGAUUAUCUUUGGUGUAUAGAUCCCCUAGAUGGUACCACAAAUUUUGCUCAUUGCUACCCCAGCUUUGCGGUUUCCAUUGGUGUACUUUACAAAGGAAAGCCAGCUGCUGCCUCUGUGGUAGAGUUUGUUGGUGGACCUAAGUGUUGGAAUACUCGGACUUUUACUGCAGCUGCUGGUAAAGGUGCAUUCUGCAACGGAGAGAAAAUUCAUGUGAGCCAAACUGAUAAGGUUGAGAGAUCACUUUUGGUUACUGGGUUUGGAUAUGAACAUAAUGAUCCAUGGGCAACCAAUAUGGAACUAUUCAAGGAAUUCACUGACAUUAGUCGGGGUGUGAGGAGGCUUGGUGCAGCAGCAGUUGACAUGUCUCACGUAGCCCUGGGAAUUGUAGAAGCCUACUGGGAGUAUCGUCUUAAACCAUGGGAUAUGGCCGCUGGUGUUUUGAUAGUUGAAGAGGCCGGGGGAACAGUUUCAUGCAUGGAUGGUGGAAAAUUUUCUGUAUUUGACAGAUCCGUCUUGGUAUCCAAUGGAGUGCUUCAUUCUAAGCUUGCAGUAGGAGUCAGACACGUUGAGGUCAGAUUGAUUGUUACAGAUGUGUUGCUGUAGGCCUCUGCAGAGGAGUUCCAUAGUAUCAUUCUGUUCUAGUUUAUCUUUCAAUAUUAGUGUUCUUGUUUGUUUUCUGUGUUAUCUCCACCUUAACUCUAUCAGAAUUCCUUUUACACGAUUGGUUGCAGCUUCUUGAGCGAAUUGGACCAGCAACAGAGAAAUUGAAGGACAAAGGCAUCGAUUUUUCACUAUGGUACAAGCCUGAAAAUUAUCACACAGAAAUUUGAGAGGCCUAUUUGAUGGCUUUGCACCAGGCUUCCUGUGGAGAUCAGGUGCAAGCAUCCAUUAUUGAAAUAAUGAUUUUAAUAAUUUGAUCGAGUUCUACCAUCCAAUCACUUCAAAGUUGAUUCUAGUCAUUACCUUGAUUCUUUCAGCAAGGGCCAGUGCCAGAACCUUUGAUCUUCCGCCCAAGUUAUCGAAAGACUUUGUGCAAAAAUCAUGAAGCAGUUGCAGUUUGACUGCUUAUCAACCCAGUACUUCUGCAGAAUCGAAGUAUUCUAUUAGAAACAGAAUAAGAGGUAUUCGUAGCAUGGUACGACCAAUGUUUUCCCUUUUCUUUCUUUCAAUUCUCAAACGAUAAUAUCUUCAAUACUCAAAUGUGUAAUUGAUUUGCAAUGAAGUUUAAACUGAAUAAAUACUUUACUGUUAACAAAACUAAAGAAAAA